rnacentral:rRNA from 1 species
GGUGGUGGGACCUGAGGGUUUUGUAGGUAAGCGUGUUAACAGGUGUGACGCAGGAAGGUAGCCGGGCCGUGCGAUGGUUGUCGCGGUCUAAGGUUGUAGGCCGUGUGGUUGGCAAAUCCGCCACACAUGAUGGCUGAGAGCUGAUGGGCGCCCCACACGUGGUGGGGUGAUCCGGUGAUCCUCUGCUGCCAAGAAAAGCAUCGACGUGAGGUUCAAACUGCCCGUACCCUAAACCGACUCAGGUGGUCAGGUAGAGAAUACCAAGGCGAUCGAGAUAAUCGUGGUUAAGGAACUCGGCAAAAUGCCCCCGUAACUUUGGAAGAAGGGGGACCACCCCGGUGAACAACCCUUGCGGUUGGAUGUGCUGGUGGUGGUCGCAGAGGCCAGAGAGAAGCGACUGUUUACUAAAAACACAGGUCCGUGCGAAGACGUAAGUCGAUGUAUACGGACUGACGCCUGCCCGGUGCUGGAAGGUUAAGAGGAUCUGUUAGAACCUUGGUUCGAAGCGGAGAAUUUAAGCCCCAGUAAACGGCGGUGGUAACUAUAACCAUCCUAAGGUAGCGAAAUUCCUUGUCGGGUAAGUUCCGACCUGCACGAAUGGCGUAACGACUUCUCUGCUGUCUCAACCGCGAACUCGGCGAAAUUGCAUUACGAGUAAAGAUGCUCGUUACGCGCAGCAGGACGGAAAGACCCCGAGACCUUCACUAUAGUUUGGUAUUGGUGUUCGGUGUGGCUUGUGUAGGAUAGGUGGGAGACUAUGAGGCAUGCACGCCAGUGUGUGUGGAGUCAUUGGUGAAAUACCACUCUGGCCAUAGUGGAUUCCUGAACUUCGGACCCUGAUCGGGUCCAGGGACAGUGCCUGAUGGGUAGUUUAACUGGGGCGGUUGCCUCCCAAAGAGUAACGGAGGCGCCCAAAGGUUCCCUCAGCCUGGUUGGCAAUCAGGUGGUGAGUGUAAGUGCACAAGGGAGCUUGACUGUGAGACGGACGUGUCGAGCAGGAGCGAAAGCUGGGACUAGUGACCCGGCCAUGGCUUGUGGAAGCGUGGUCGCUCAACGGAUAAAAGGUACCUCGGGGAUAACAGGCUGAUCUUGCCCAAGAGUCCAUAUCGACGGCAUGGUUUGGCACCUCGAUGUCGGCUCGUCGCAUCCUGGGGCUGGAGUCGGUCCCAAGGGUUGGGCUGUUCGCCCAUUAAAGCGGUACGCGAGCUGGGUUUAGAACGUCGUGAGACAGUUCGGUCCCUAUCCGCUGCGUGCGUAGGAAAUCUGAGAAGGGCUGUCCUUAGUACGAGAGGACCGGGACGGACGAACCUCUGGUGUGCCAGUUGUACCGCCAGGUGCAUGGCUGGUUGGCUACGUUCGGGAAGGAUAACCGCUGAAAGCAUCUAAGCGGGAAGCCUGCUUCAAGAUGAGAUUUCCCCUGAGGUGUCCAGUAGACGACUGGGUUGAUAGGCCAGAUGUGGAAGCACAGCAAUGUGCGCAGCUGACUGGUACUAAUACACCAAUCACUCACCCAACAA